rnacentral:rRNA from 1 species
GAUGAACGCUGGCGGCGUGCUUAACACAUGCAAGUCGAACGAAGCACCUUGAUUUGAUUCUUCGGAUGAAGAUCUUGGUGACUGAGUGGCGGACGGGUGAGUAACGCGUGGGUAACCUGCCUCAUACAGGGGGAUAACAGUUAGAAAUGACUGCUAAUACCGCAUAAGACCACAGCACCGCAUGGUGCAGGGGUAAAAACUCCGGUGGUAUGAGAUGGACCCGCGUCUGAUUAGGUAGUUGGUGGGGUAACGGCCUACCAAGCCGACGAUCAGUAGCCGACCUGAGAGGGUGACCGGCCACAUUGGGACUGAGACACGGCCCAAACUCCUACGGGAGGCAGCAGUGGGGAAUAUUGCACAAUGGGGGAAACCCUGAUGCAGCGACGCCGCGUGAGCGAUGAAGUAUUUCGGUAUGUAAAGCUCUAUCAGCAGGGAAGAAAAUGACGGUACCUGACUAAGAAGCACCGGCUAAAUACGUGCCAGCCGCCGCUGUAAUAC